GUCUUAGUGGUGAAAUGAAAGACACGUGAGAUUCAAAAUCUCGUGUAAAGAGUAUGGAGGUUCAAGUCCUCUUCAAACA
rnacentral:tRNA from 1 species